CCCUUAGAUGUUCUGGGCUGCACGCGCGCUACACUGAUACGUUCAACAAGUGUAACCUCCGCCGGCGGGUACUGGGGGAAAUCUUUUGAAAGCGUAUCGUGAUGGGGAUAGAUUAUUGUAAUUAUUAGUCUUCAACGAGGAAUUCCUAGUAAGCUCGGGUCAACAGCUCGUGCUGAUUACGUCCCUGCCCUUUGUACACACCGCCCGUCGCACCUACCGAUUGAAUGGUCCGGUGAAAUCUCGGGACGGCGGCUUGGUCGCUUGCGUCCGACUGCUGAAACUUGAUUAAACCAUAUCAUUUAGAGGAAGGUGAAGUCGUAACA
rnacentral:rRNA from 1 species